CCAUAGCCCCGAUGGAAGUGGAAAUCCUUUCGCUUUUUUCUUUAAAAAGCGAAAGAUUGUAGCGCACAGCGGGAAACAGC
rnacentral:sRNA from 1 species